UACGGGGGGGGCAAGCGUUGUUCGGAAUUACUGGGCGUAAAGGGCUCGUAGGCGGCCAACUAAGUCAGACGUGAAAUCCCCAGGCUCAACCUGGGAACUGCGUCUGAUACUGGAUGGCUUGAAUCCGGGAGAGGGAUGCAGAAUUCCAGGUGUAGCGGUGAAAUGCGUAGAUAUCUGGAGGAAUACCGGUGGCGAAGGCGGCAUCCUGGACCGGCAUUGACGCUGAGGAGCGACAGCGUGGGGAGCAAACAGG
rnacentral:rRNA from 1 species